GACGAACGCUGGCGGCGUGCUUAACACAUGCAAGUCGAACGAAGUGGCGAACGUGUGAGUAACGCGUAAUCAACCUGCCCUUCAGAGGGGGACAACAGCUGGAAAUGACUGCUAAUACCGCAUAAUGAAGGAGGGGCUUGCGUCUGAUUUGAUAGUUGGAGGGGUAACGGCCCACCAAGGCGAUGAUAAGUAGACGGUCUGAGAGGAUGAACAGCCACAUGGGGACGGGGACAAGGCCCAGACUCGUACGGGAGGCAGCAGUGGGGAAUCUUCCGAAAUGGACGGAAGGCUGACGGAGCAAAGCCGCGUGAGUGAUGACGGCCUUCGGGUUGUAAAGGUCUGUUAAGCGGGGCGCGGUACCGGAAUAGAAAGCCACGGCUAACUUCGUGCCAGCAGCCGCGGUAAUAC
rnacentral:rRNA from 1 species